CAAUAGCGUAUAUUAAAGUUGUUGCAGUUAAAAAGCUCGUAGUUGGAUUUCUGAUAUCUUUUUUCUUCUUUUCUUGUUUACUAAAUUGUAAAUGUAAAGUUUGAUUGGAUAUCUUCCUUCCCUGUUAAUUUGGUUUUUAAGCAUUAACUUGUUUAUGGAUCAAAUGGGGAUCUUUUACUGUGAAAAAAUUAGAGUGUUCAAAGCAAGUAUUUAUUUUCUUGAAUACAUUAGCAUGGAAUAAUAAGAUAGGACUUUGGUUAUAUUUUGUUGGUUUGCAAACUGAGGUAAUGAUUAAUAGGAACAUAUUGGGGAUAUCUGUAUUUUUUAGUCAGAGGUGAAAUUCUUGGAUUUAAGAAAGACAAACUACAGCGAAAGCAUUUAUCAAGGAUGUUUUCAUUG
rnacentral:rRNA from 1 species